GUAAGGAAUAUUGGGCAAUGGAGGAAACUCUGACCCAGCCAUGCCGCGUGCAGGAUGACGGCCCUAGUGGUUGUAAACUGCUUUUAUACGGGAAGAAACACUCCGACGUGUCGGAAAUUGACGGUACCGUAUGAAUAAGCAUCGGCUAACUCCGUGCCAGCAGCCGCGGUAAUACGGAGGAUGCAAGCGUUAUCCGGAUUUAUUGGGUUUAAAGGGUGUGUAGGCGGAAUGGUAAGUCAGUGGUGAAAGCCUACAGCUCAACUGUAGAAUUGCCAUUGAAACUGCUGUUCUUGAGUGUAGUUGAAGUGGGCAGAACGUGUCAUGUAGCGGUGAAAUGCAUAGAUAUGACACAGAAUACCGAUUGCGAAGGCAGCUCACUAAACUACUACUGACGCUGAGACACGAAAGCGUGGGGAGCAAACAGG
rnacentral:rRNA from 1 species